rnacentral:rRNA from 2 species
GACGGUACCUUAUUAGAAAGCCACGGCUAACUACGUGCCAGCAGCCGCGGUAAUACGUAGGUGGCAAGCGUUGUCCGGAAUUAUUGGGCGUAAAGCGCGCGCAGGCGGUUCUUUCAGUCUGAUGUGAAAGCCCACGGCUCAACCGUGGAGGGUCAUUGGAAACUGGAGAACUUGAGUACAGAAGAGGAAAGCGGAAUUCCACGUGUAGCGGUGAAAUGCGUAGAGAUGUGGAGGAACACCAGUGGCGAAGGCGGCUUUCUGGUCUGUAACUGACGCUGAGGCGCGAAAGCGUGGGGAGCAAA